rnacentral:rRNA from 1 species
AGGAUGAACGCUGGCGGCGUGCCUAACACAUGCAAGUCGAACGCGCUCCAUUCGGUAGCAAUACUGAUGAAGAGCGAGUGGCGAACGGGUGAGUAACACGUGAGCAACCUGCCCCUUAGCUUCGGGAUAGCUCCGGGAAACCGGAAUUAAUACCGAAUAUGACUGCGGCUGACAGUCAGCCACGGUGGAAAGUUUUUUCGGCUAGGGGAUGGACUCGCGGCCUAUCAGCUAGUUGGUGAGGUAACGGCCCACCAAGGCGACGACGGGUA